AGUUUGAUCCUGGCUUAGGAUGAACGCUAGCUACAGGCUUAACACAUGCAAGUCGAGGGGCAGCAUUGGAGUAGCAAUACUUCAGAUGGCGACCGGCGCACGGGUGAGUAACACGUAUCCAACCUGCCGCUUACUCGGGGAUAGCCUUUCGAAAGAAAGAUUAAUACCCGAUGGUAUAAAGAGUUCGCAUGUUCUCUUUAUUAAAGAAUUUCGGUAAGCGAUGGGGAUGCGUUCCAUUAGAUAGUUGGCGGGGUAACGGCCCACCAAGUCUACGAUGGAUAGGGGUUCUGAGAGGAAGGUCCCCCACAUUGGAACUGAGACACGGUCCAAACUCCUACGGGAGGCAGCAGUGAGGAAUAUUGGUCAAUGGACGAGAGUCUGAACCAGCCAAAGUAGCGUGAAGGAUGACUGCCCUAUGGGUUGUAAACUUCUUUUAUAAGGGAAUAAAGUGAGGGACGUGUCCCUUUUUGUAUGUACCUUAUGAAUAAGGAUCGGCUAACUCCGUGCCAGCCGCGGC
rnacentral:rRNA from 1 species